CAGGAAAUGCAGAACUGCAACUGGAUGAAUCCAACAGGAUGAAACGCAGAAGCCGAAUAAGGAGGAGGCCCUGCAGGUGACAACAGAGUUUAUGACAGUCAGACUCAACUCUGUGAAUGACAUAUUGGCCCUACAAGAGGAGAAGAGGGUUGAGAAGGUACGUGAUCAAUUGUUAACGGUGCCAUAGCUGAUGUAAAAUCCCCUUAUUUUUGUCAGAUAUUUUAUUAAUAUCCAUUCCCCCAUGCGUAUGACUGUCUAAGAGCUCUGAAGGUUAAGUAAAGGCUUAGUCAUGUCCACAGACUAGGUCAGACCCUCUCUUGAAGGCUGGGCCUAAAGGGUUCUGCGCCGCUGGAGAAAGAAGGUCUUCAUGUUGUUGGUUGAGCUUCGCUCAAAGGACAUUGAACUGAGGGGAGAAAAGGACAAUUGUACAGUAUGUUCCUUUAGGAGGUUUAUAUAUUUUUUCAAACAGACAAAUGACCAACCCACUAUAAAAUAAAGUUCAGUCUAUUCAUCGGCAAAUUGUGAUAAGGAAUAUUUUCGAAACAUCCAUGAGUCUAUUGUGUGUCCUUUUGUUUCAGAUCUUGUCUCUGGAGCAGGAGGUGAAGGAGAAGUACCAGUCUAGUGUGUUCCAGCACAGCCUGCAGGACAGAACAGCUGCGCUGGACCUGGAGAGGGUGGCUUGGGAGGCCUGAGAGGGGUCUGGUGAGUGAGUAUAAGGGCGCUCGGACCACAGCCCUGCAGACUUCUGUGGCCUUGGAGGAGCAGCGGCAGCAGAGACCCUCAGGGAAGAACAACACUCUGAAAGCCAAAGACAAGCUACAGACCGGAGACUCAGUGGUCCUCAGCUCAGAGGACGAUGUAGAGGAGGACAGGGUGGGGCAGUCCAGAGCCAAAAGAGAACUCUCAAAAGUGACCUGCAAAAAGGCCUCACAGCAAGGAGGAGCAUGACAGGAAAAUCAAAUGAAUGGAUAGCCUCGAUCAAAACCGCGUGCUGCCUUCCACUGAAGAAGACUAAAUAACAGGCUGAGUUAUGAUCCUAGGUUCUCUGAACUGUAGUACUGGAGAAAGGAGAUUGACCUCUGCUGAUGGUUUUGUAGUCUUGCUAUUGGUUGUGUUUAUAAAGACAUGAAUCAGCAUCUUC